ACGGCAGCACGGAGCUUGCUCUGGUGGCGAGUGGCGAACGGGUGAGUAAUAUAUCGGAACGUACCCUGGAGUGGGGGAUAACGUAGCGAAAGUUACGCUAAUACCGCAUACGAUCUAAGGAUGAAAGUGGGGGAUCGCAAGACCUCAUGCUCGUGGAGCGGCCGAUAUCUGAUUAGCUAGUUGGUGGGGUAAAGGCCUACCAAGGCAUCGAUCAGUAGCUGGUCUGAGAGGACGACCAGCCACACUGGAACUGAGACACGGUCCAGACUCCUACGGGAGGCAGCAGUGGGGAAUUUUGGACAAUGGGCGAAAGCCUGAUCCAGCAAUGCCGCGUGAGUGAAGAAGGCCUUCGGGUUGUAAGGCUCUUUUGUCAGGGAAGAAACGGUGGGCUCUAAUACAGCCUGCUAAUGACGGUACCUGAAGAAUAAGCACCGGCUAACUACGUGCCAGCAGCCGCGGUAAU
rnacentral:rRNA from 1 species